CGGCUUACUACUUCCGGUCGCCGGCGGGUAGCCGGCGGGAGGUGGGUAAGCCGUCGAUGGCUCGUUUCCCUUGCCCGGUGGUGGGUAGGCGGACUGGGGUGGGUAGGCCGCGGCGGCUGACCCAUCGGCCUUCGCUGCCGUUGGGUAGGCGGUCGGUGGUGGGUAGGUGGAUUGGGGCGGGUAGGCCGCGGCGGCGGCGGCGGAGGGCGGGUAAGCUGGCGCCGGUGGAGCUUGGCCGUACGCGACCGGAGGAGAGGCACCAGGGUAGGAGCCGG
rnacentral:lncRNA from 1 species